GAUUCCCCGCUCGCGACUCCCCACCCCCCAGGGCUCCCUAAAGAGGGCCACGAGCUGCGAAAGGGCGGGAAAGGCAGUUGGAGAAGAGGUAAGCGGUUACUCACUCCAUGGCUGCAGCAAGGAGAGGCGGCGGCGGCCUCGGCUGAAGAAAGAAGGUGGGAGCGGAGAGCGCAGGCGUGCCGAGGUGGAUGUCCGUCUUUUCUCUGUUGCAGAAACCCACCUUGUCCCAUCCACAUCAGGACAUCCCAGCUGGAGUUCAACCUUCAUCCCUUCUGUGGCAGUUAGGAGACUGAAUCAAGGUCCAGAGAAGGUGGAGGAAUCCUGAUACUGAGCGUCAGUCAAAUCCGUCUUCUAAGGAUACUGCUGAUCAUCUUUAGGGCUCACGCCUGUAGUCCUGGCACUUUGAGAGGACAAAGAGGGAGGAUCGCUUGAGCCCAGGAGUUGAAGACCAGGGCAACAGAGGAAUUCAGCCCAGCCCACGGCACCUGCCACGUUGCCCUUCACUCCGGCCACGCCAGCAGCCACCACAGCAGGUGCCACACAGCCAGCUGCUCCCACACCCA
rnacentral:lncRNA from 1 species